rnacentral:lncRNA from 1 species
AAAUGAUUCAUCCCUUCUGAGCUGGCUCCUUCAUCUAUAAAGCAGGGCUACUUCCCCUCCUGCGGAGAAUGGCGAGGAGGACUAAAAAGACGAGUGAAAGUGACAAGGACAGUGCUUGGUGUGUGGGACGUGGUUCCUCUUUCUUUCCCUUUAUUGUAAAAUGCUCGUUAUUGGUGAGCUGAGAGGCCCUGCCGACCCAGGUAAGGGGACGCUGGCACCCAGGGCGUAAGGGAGCGCUGGCACCCAGGGUGUAAGGGGACGCUGGCACCAGCAGCAAGGUCGGCAUCAUACGGGCUUCUUCCUGGGUCACCCUGAGCAUUGAGGCCUUUUUUUCACUUCCCCUGCCUACGGGUUACUGUCAUAGGAAGCUACUUGGAAAACAGGAGUUUUUCGGGAUACUGAGGAAUCAGAUUUCUAUUUGGAAGCAUCCUUCUCAUCUUCAGGGAGGGACCAAGAGUUCAGCACACCCUGAUGUGCACAGCAGCCGCCCGCAGAGCGGGGCGGGGAAGGAGAAGGGGUUCACUGUCCUGUGAGGAGAGACUGAGGCACCGCCCUGUGAAAGGUUAGCCCUUCCACCGAGACUCAUCACCACACAGAGAUGACAAGACCCCACUCAAGCAGCUGCAGCCAAAGUCCUGCUGCAAACAGCCCUCCUCAGAUAUGGAGCACAUACAGCAAAGUGACAAGAGACCGCCUCGGCUAACAGGGGCACCCAUGCAGCUCAGGCAAAGGAAAACAAGCAUCCUCUGGGAAGAAAAACUAUCUGUGUGAAGGUUUUGCGGGGGAAAGAAAGGAUUUACUCUCAACCAAAUCCAUCAGAGAACCGCACGACUCUUGAGAGCGCAGUGAUGUCCCAGAGAAGAGAAUUGGGAAGCACCCAGGACAAUGCACAUGCCAGUCCAGGGACACCAUCGAGGACCUGGGCAGCCUGCUUUCAGGGGGACCCUCAUGGUGCCCCACUGCGGCCACUAGGCAGACAUGUCACCUUAUUUCCAAACGUUAUCUCGAAUGAGGGGAACAUAGUCAGCAAUGAACAUGAGAGCAGCAGCACCUGCAAGGGAACGGGAGGGCUCCUGCCUCCAGCCCAGUGUCGUGGGUAAGAAGCAUUACAGAAGAGACUUCCUGGACACAGUAGCUGCCUGUAGAAAGACUCACCCUUUCAGCAGCUUGUCCUGUGAUUUGCAGAAGAGAUCUAAGUGUACCCCUAGAUUUAGGAAUGCUUUCCAAGGGGCAAGGCAGCCUCUGGGGUGCUUGUGAGGAGAGAGAGGUCUCAUUCUCUGUGGUACGUGCAUCUCACACACCAUGCAUUACCAGGAUUCUGAAAAAUCUGCAGUCUAUGCAAAUGUGCUUCAACUAGAUGUAUGUAUUUUUUAAGAAAGCUCCUAAACAUAGGAGGGUUCCUGAAGCGAACCCAGCAUGACCCUUCCCUCUUGUUUUGGGUCAGCUUCGGGUAGAAUAUUUUUGUUUUUUGUUUGUUUUGUUUUGAGAUGGAGUCUCGCUCUGUCACCCAGGCGACUCCCUAAAAUCUGAGCCACCAAGCUCAGCCAGGUAGAAUUUCAUUUUUGGUUUCAUGUUCACUAUUUCCUAAGACAAUUUAGUAUAGAUGAAUGUCAACUGAAAGAACUCCGCAUGUAGAAUGCUCAGGACAUACUAAUAAUGCUUUGGAAAAGGCAAUGGUCUUGUCUAUACUUGAUUAAAUAUCUCUUUAAAGAAAAGCGCAUUACAUGUCACACACUAAUCAGGGGGUCACAUCUGGGCUCAUAUGACAAGUGUUAUGUUUAACAAGAGUAUGAAAGCAAACUUAAAGUCUCAAUAAAGCUUCAGGUAGAAGGACUCAAA